rnacentral:rRNA from 1 species
GAUGAACGCUGGCGGCGUGCCUAAUACAUGCAAGUCGAGCGAACGGACGAGAAGCUUGCUUUUCUGAUGUUAGCGGCGGACGGGUGAGUAACACGUGGAUAACCUACCUAUAAGACUGGGAUAACUUCGGGAAACCGGAGCUAAUACCGGAUAAUAUUUUGAACCGCAUGGUUCAAAAGUGAAAGACGGUCUUGCUGUCACUUAUAGAUGGAUCCGCGCUGCAUUAGCUAGUUGGUAAGGUAACGGCUUACCAAGGCAACGAUGCAUAGCCGACCUGAGAGGGUGAGGGCCAACCCGGGAUCUGUGACCCGUACCGGACUCCUACGGGGGGAAGCGGCGGGGAAUCUGCGACAAUGGGCGAAAGCCUGAAGUACCAACGCCGGGGGAGUGAUGAUGUUUUUCGGAUCUUAAAACUCUGUUAUUGGGGAAGAACAAAGGUGUAAGUACCUGGGCCCAGCUUGCGGGUACCGAAUCAGAAAGCCACGGAUAACUCCGUG